UACUGGAAGUGUGGCUGGAUCACCUCCUUUCUAAGAGAAAGAAAUUAUUAUACGGCAAAUUAUUAUUUUAACUCUUCCUUUGUCUUUUCAGAGACUUUUUUUGGGGGUUUAGCUCAGUUGGUUUAGAGCAUCGGCUUUGCAAGCCGGGGGUCAAGGGUUCGAAUCCCUUAACCUCCAUUUGUUUAUUGUAAAAGUGAAUGAAUGGAGGUUAUGGUUUUAAAGAUUAACUUGUGUUGUAUCAAUUGAAAGCUAGCUUUAAGAAUUAAAAAAAAUCCUAUUAAAAUUUUGAUUUUCAGAUAAAAUGUUUUUUAUGUUUAAUGAUUUAUUUAGAGUAAAUUCUCAUUUAUAAGAUAAGCAAUAUAAGAAGUAAGGGUAUUACUUAUUUAUUUUUUUGUUUGAAUUAAAUUAUUUUAUUUAAGUUGUUUUAAAAUUUUUUAGCUUGUAGGAAAUAAUUUUUACUUCAUGCAAAUUUUAAGAUAUUUGAUGUUUUUGUUUGUUUUGAGUGAGUAAAUAUAAUAUAUGGUUUGCUAUUUUAGCACAUGGUUUUAUAUUACUUGUUGUCUUGAUGAUUUUGUUGAUAAAUUUAAAUAGACUUAACAAAUUUUUAUUGCAUACGGCAAGCUUGAUUGAAGCUCAAAAAUGCAUCUUUGAAUUAUUUUGUUGAGAUUACUAAAUGUUUAGUAGGAGUUGAGUUUAUUCAAUUGGGACCAGGAGGAGUGAACCUCCGACCU
rnacentral:tRNA from 1 species